UUAAACUAAACAGCUGUUAAUAACAAUAACAAACAGAGAACAUUUAUAUCACAGAAUGUUAACGAAUUCCCCUAUGGGAGCCUGGGAGUGUUUCCCUGUAGAAAUCCGGUAGUAUAAGCUGAACGGGAUCGUCGUUGUCAAUUAAUUGGUUCAAAAUACCUAUUGGAGACAGUGUAUUUUCAUGGAGAGCUAAAUUAUCAGCAAAUUUCCUCUGGAGCCGUAAGGCGUAUUUGCAGAGUGGUACCACAGCAGAUUGUCCAUAAAUGUAUGUAUUAGAAAAUCGUUUUGUAUAGCUUUGAAAAUUCC